rnacentral:rRNA from 1 species
UACGUAGGGUGCAAGCGUUGUCCGGAAUUAUUGGGCGUAAAGGGCUCGUAGGCGGUUUGUCGCGUCUGCUGUGAAAACGCGAGGCUCAACCUCGCGCCUGCAGUGGGUACGGGCAGACUAGAGUGCGGUAGGGGAGAUUGGAAUUCCUGGUGUAGCGGUGGAAUGCGCAGAUAUCAGGAAGAACACCCGUGGCGAAGGCGGCUUUCUGGGACGGUACUGACGCUGAGACGCGAAAGCGUGGGGAGCGAACAGG